UAGGGAAUCUUCCACAAUGGACGCAAGUCUGAUGGAGCAACGCCGCGUGAGUGAAGAAGGUUUUCGGACCGUAAAGCUCUGUUGUUGGUGAAGAAGGAUAGAGGUAGUAACUGGCCUUUAUUUGACGGUAAUCAACCAGAAAGUCACGGCUAACUACGUGCCAGCAGCCGCGGUAAUACGUAGGUGGCAAGCGUUGUCCGGAUUUAUUGGGCGUAAAGCGAGCGCAGGCGGAAGAAUAAGUCUGAUGUGAAAGCCCUCGGCUUAACCGAGGAAUUGCAUCGGAAACUGUUUUCUUGAGUGCAGAA
rnacentral:rRNA from 1 species